rnacentral:rRNA from 1 species
GACGAACGCUGGCGGCGUGCCUAAUACAUGCAAGUAGAACGCUGAAGAGAGGAGCUUGCUCUUCUUGGAUGAGUUGCGAACGGGUGAGUAACGCGUAGGUAACCUGCCUUGUAGCGGGGGAUAACUAUUGGAAACGAUAGCUAAUACCGCAUAACAAUGGAUGUCACAUGUCAUUUAUUUGAAAGGGGCAAUUGCUCCACUACAAGAUGGACCUGCGUUGUAUUAGCUAGUAGGUGAGGUAAUGGCUCACCUAGGCGACGAUACAUAGCCGACCUGAGAGGGUGAUCGGCUACACUGGGACUGAGACACGGCCCAGACUCCUACGGGAGGCAGCAGUAGGGAAUCUUCGGCAAUGGGGGCAACCCUGACCGAGCAACGCCGCGUGAGUGAAGAAGGUUUUCGGAUCGUAAAGCUCUGUUGUAAGUCAAGAACGGGUGUGAGAGUGGAAAGUUCACACUGUGACGGUAGCUUACCAGAAAGGGACGGCUAACUACGUG